rnacentral:rRNA from 1 species
UACGUAGGGUGCGAGCGUUAAUCGGAAUUAUUGGGCGUAAAGCGCACGUAGGCGGCUUGGCAAGUCGGAUGUGAAAUCCCUCGGCUCAACCAAGGAAGUGCAUCCGAAACUGCUGAGCUUGAGUACUUAAGAGGAUCGCGGAAUUCCCGGAUGUAGAGGUGAAAUUUCGUAGAUAUCGGGAGGAACACCAGUGGCGAAGGCGGCGAUCUGGGAAGAUACUGACGCUGAGGUGCGAAAGCGUGGGGAGCAAAGCAGG